rnacentral:rRNA from 1 species
ACGCUCGACACCUACGGGAGGCAGCAGUGGGGAAUAUUGCACAAUGGGGGAAACCCUGAUGCAGCGACGCCGCGUGGAGGAAGAAGGUCUUCGGAUUGUAAACUCCUGUUGUUGGGGAAAAAGAGGAUGGUACCCAACAAGGAAGUGACGGCUAACUACGUACCAGAGCCGCGGUAAUCUGAGCGGGCUGGCAAGGC